GGGGAAUUUUCCGCAAUGGGCGAAAGCCUGACGGAGCAAUACCGCGUGGGGGAGGAAGGCCCUUGGGUUGUAAACCCCUUUUGUCAGGGAAGAACACAAUGACGGUACCUGACGAAUCAGCCUCGGCUAACUCCGUGCCAGCAGCCGCGGUAAGACGGAGGAGGCAAGCGUUAUCCGGAAUCAUUGGGCGUAAAGCGUCCGUAGGUGGCUGAUCAAGUCUGCUGUUAAAGCCCAGGGCUCAACCCUGGAGAAGCAGUGGAAACUGAUAGGCUAGAGUGCGGUAGGGGUAGAGGGAAUUCCCGGUGUAGCGGUGAAAUGCGUAGAGAUCGGGAAGAACACCAGUGGCGAAAGCGCUCUGCUGGACCGCAACUGACACUGAGGGACGAAAGCUAGGGGAGCGAAAGGGAUUAGAUACCCCAGUAGUC
rnacentral:rRNA from 1 species